AGUGAUUCCAUUAGAGAAGCUGGUUCCCAGCCCUCACUCGAUACCACAAGCGCCCAACCCACGGGAUCAGAAGGGCUUGUGCAAGGAGAAUUUCCUGUUCUGCUGACUCAUCUCCUGCAACAAGAUAACCAAGAAUUACUCUCCUGACAUGAUGUAGAUGGGUGUUCAUUAUGCCAUCCAGAAAAUUUCUCAAGUAUGGAGUGAAGAGACGCCCUCCGGAAAUUCAGACAGAUUAAUCCAGGGUUGGAUUUCAUAAAUAAAUAUAUAAAUAUCAAAAACUUUGCAAGAAAAUAAAAAAAGCCAACUGGAGCAGCAGCCAGGCAUCCGACAGUAUUCGUUUGGAUUCUUAAUCCUGUGCCAGAGGAAAGCAUGCCCUUGGCUUUGACCUGUUUUGUAUUUCCAGUCUUCACUUCUGUGUUCAGCCUGGACCUGCUGUACCCUCAAUUACCAGCUUUGGCUUUUGCUUGUGGACAACACCCAAAGGAGGCACUCCCGGGUCACACCUCCAUAACCGGUUGCACCUGUGGAGGGGUGCGAGGAAGUGGAGCUGGAGCUGGGCCUUAAGGCUAGUGUGGGACAUAGACAAGGGUAGGAAGCAGAAGAGGGCAUUGCACAUAGGAGGAAUGCUCUGAGGAAGGAAGCAGAAUGAAAAAUGUGAAGGGUGUUUGGGAAAACAUGCAGUGGUCGAUUUGCUGGGAACAGAUGGUUUGUGGUGGGGAAUGUUGAAGUAAGGCUGGAAAGGGAGCUUGGUGUUCUUCA